UACAGAGGUCUCAACCGUUGUUCGGAUUCAUUGGGCGUAAAGGGUGCGUAGGCGGUCGCGCAAGUCGGAUGUGAAAUCUUAGGGCUCAACCCUGAAACUGCAUUCGAUACUGCGUGGCUCGAGUACUGGAGAGGAGACUGGAAUUUACGGUGUAGCAGUGAAAUGCGUAGAUAUCGUAAGGAAGACCAGUGGCGAAGGCGAAUCUCUGGACAGUUACUGACACUGAGGCACGAAGGCCAGGGGAGCAAACGGG
rnacentral:rRNA from 1 species